rnacentral:rRNA from 1 species
UGGGGAAUAUUGCACAAUGGGCGAAAGCCUGAUGCAGCAACGCCGCGUGCGGGAUGACGGCCUUCGGGUUGUAAACCGCUUUCAGCAGGGACGAAGGUUUUCUGACGGUACCUGCAGAAGAAGCACCGGCUAACUACGUGCCAGCAGCCGCGGUGAUACGUAGGGUGCGAGCGUUGUCCGGAAUUAUUGGGCGUAAAGAGCUUGUAGGCGGUCCGUUGCGUCGGAAGUGAAAACUCAGGGCUUAACCCCUGAGCCUGCUUUCGAUACGGGCGGACUUGAGGGAUGUAGGGGAGAACGGAAUUCCUGGUGGAGUGGUGGAAUGCGCAGAUAUCAGGAGGAACACCAGUGGCGAAGGCGGUUCUCUGGACAUUUCCUGACGCUGAGAAGCGAAAGCGUGGGGAGCAAACAGGCUUAGAUACCCUGGUAGUCCACGCCGUAAACGGUGGGCA